ensembl:lncRNA
CACAGCCUGUUGGAGCAAGGCCUGAGGGCCUGCCUGGAGCCUGACUGCCAUCGAACUUCAUCACAGGGAGACAUUAUUAAUACGAAUGAUAAUCUGACAACCUGACAUUUUAGUUAAGAUCAACAAGAAGGUUAAAGAAUCAGCUUUAAAGCCCUCUGUAACAUGAUAAACAUUUCUAUCGGCAUGUAACCAGCACAUAACAUCACUGCUAUAAUUUUCUCCUCUAAUGAUGGUUAUGUCGGAGAGCGCUCAUUGAUGCCCGCGGGCCGAUUGUGUAAAUGAAACAGAAAACAUACAAAUUGCAUUGUCAAUUCAAAUUUAAGCAGGUAAUGCAGCCCAUUCAUUGCAUUGGCCCGCGGUAGCUACCUCUAGUUAUCUGUGACAGAAGGACACGUCGUCGGCCUGCUGGAGGGAAAAAAAAGCGACAGGCAGCAGCAGCGCCUCGAGUAGGCUACACCAGAAAGGAGACGCGCUACGACAUGACAAAUUCAUCGUCUCUGCCUGAUAAAUCACUGGGCUGUUUUAAUUUUCGUAGGAAAGAGGCCGUGUCGAAGGCCAGUUGCUGUUCUAAUUAAACUGAGACAACUCAGAAUUAGCGUGCUCGUCACCGGCGGUCUCCGCGGCGGCUGUCAUCGCCCGCAUCGCGCAUCUUCAGACUAUUUGAAAAUCAAUUAUCUCAACAAACCAGCUGUAAGGAAGUCGAUGGGUAGAUGACAGGCCAGGGAUGAGCUUCAAACAGUGGCAUGUAUAUGUGUAUGUAUGUAACAGGCCUGUGGAGUGUUUGUGUGUCAAGGACGUUAGCGGGGUGGACAGCUGAUGGACACCAGCGUGGAGGAGAUGUGAUAAAGUAAGAAAGUCGCACAGGUUUGGAAAGACAUUAGGGAGCGUGUGUGGAACUUUUUCCUGAUGUGAUACAGAGGGACUGGUGAGGAUUUCAUCUCGCUUUUACUGAUCUCCAAAGGGGACUGUAGAGGAGUGAGCCGGGGUGAUGGAAGAGUUAACAGGGUUAAGGAGUGGAGAGCUAUAGUAUAUCCUCAUCCAUCAGUGAGGCUGAUAAUCACAACACAGGAUAGAGAAUGAAGACGGGACAUCUGUACAUUAGAAUGAAAUUAAUCACACAUAUGAGUUUUUUUUUUUUUUGUGGAAUCAUGGGAAUUCAAGCAUUAUAAUCACUUGAUUUUCCCAACACAGCUCACCUACCAAUAAACAAAAUUGAUGAGCGAUGGUUUAAAUUAAUCUCUGAACGAUAUUGUGUGAUGCAAAUAGAGAG